GCCUUUGACGCGUUUCCCGCCUUUCGAACGCAGUCGCCGCUAGUUACUCGUCGUGGCAAUGCUCGUCCGUUCGCUAGAUCCUGUGGCAGCGUAUCACCUGUUCGUCGAUAAGUAUGGAGAAUCGCCAAGCACAAGGAAGUUCGCGUCACGGAUGGCACGUGAGAACGCGAAUCGCGAUAAUGAUAUUCAUCUGCUUGAUUAUCGGUUCGAUGAUCAUUUUCUGGUUCGUUAGUUCGAUUAUAGAGAAUCGGCGGGAUGGUAAAUGCAGGGGAUCGAUUGGUGGGAAAUCUUAUAAAAAGGCCUUUUUGGAGAGACUAUCCGAUCAAGUUUUACCGUUGGAAUACACCUUGAAAAUAAUACCUAUACUAGAAGAAAAAAAUUUCACGAUGAUCGGCGUCGCACAGAUCCAAUUUUACUCCAAGAUCCCGACUAAGCACAUACGCUUUCACGCCCGCCAACUCCUUAUACAAAAUAUUAGAGUGGAAGAAUAUCGUUCGCCGAACGGAUCGAAACUGAUUAGCAAAUACGUCGUGAUGGAUGAGAAGGAUUUUAUCGAUGUGUAUUUUUUGCAAAUACUAAUGGCGGGAGAGACUUACGUUUUGCACGUAGAAUAUACAAUUCCAUUGCAUGAGAAAUCGACAGGAUUUUUUAGGAGUGCGUACAUCGACCGCGAUACCAACGAGACCAGAUGGAUAGCAGUGUCGAAUUUCUCUCCAGAUUACGCUCGCACAGCCUAUCCAUGCUUCGACGAGCCAUGGAUCAAGACGCCGUUUCGCAUUUCAAUCGGCAGAAAGUCCAACAUGCGAUCGCACUCGAAUUCAAUGCGAGAAGUCUCCGAAGAAAUUCGGGAUAUGCCAGGAUAUGUUUGGGACCAUUACAAGAAAACGUUACCGAUGUCCACGUACUUGGUCGCCUUUAUGGUCACUGAUUUCAUGAGUUACGAAGUUGCCGUCACCGAUCGACCGUCGCAUACGAUCUUUUUCAGGAAAGAUGUCGCAAAUAAUACAAAAUAUAUCGGCAAUUUGAUACCAAAAUUGCUUCGUUUAAUUCAAAACUUUACCAAAUUUGAUUACGAAUUGAACAAGUUGGAUGCCAUUGUGGUUCCCAAUUUUCUUUAUUCCGCGAUGGAAAAUUGGGGCCUUAUAACGUUUCGAGAAGAUUCCAUCCUCGUAAAAGAAACUGACGGUAUCGCUGACGUUAAAAAAGAAUUUGCUAGUAUUGCGGCGCACGAAGUCGCCCAUCAAUGGUUUGGUAAUCUCGUAACACCGAAAUGGUGGGACGACGUAUGGUUGAAAGAAGGAUUCUCCUCAUUUUUCGGAUAUUUAGCAUUAAGCGUGCUCGAGCCUGCAUCCUGGGAUGUGCAGACCAGCUUCCUGAUCGAGUGCUGCGACGUGUUUGACAGCGACGCCGACGAAACGGCACACCCGUUGCAUAUUGAUCUGAGGAAACUGAGUAAGCUCGCCGAUGUCUUCGAUUUGACGUCGUAUGUCAAGGGUAAUUGCAUGGCAUACAUGAUCUAUCAUUUUCUGGGUGAGCGGAUCUUUCUGUCAUCUAUGCGCCGCUACGUACAUACAUACCGCUAUCGCAGCGCUAAUCAAACGGAUCUCUGGAGCGCUUUUCAGGCUGAGAUCGAUGGAGCGAACGGGCUACCGGCUUCUUCGGGGCUCCGCAUGAAGGACGUUAUGCGAACUUGGACGUAUCAGGCAGGCUUCCCUGUCCUGCACGUCCGACAGAAUCGUGAAACCGGUGCGAUCGAGCUUACGCAGGAUCGAUUUUAUCAUUAUGGCAUAAAUAGUACGAGCAAAGAGUUAUGGCAUAUUCCGUUGACGUGGACAACCGAAAAUGAACAGCAAUUUGGUAAUACUUUGCCGAAGGCAUGGAUGGUCAAGAAACGCAUGAAAAUUAACGAUACUGUUCUGAGUCGGGCGACUUUCAACAAUAAAUGGAUUCUGUUCAAUAUCAAUCAAACGGCUUUGUAUCAUGUCAACUACGAUAUAGAGAACUGGAAAUUAUUAACAAAAUCCUUUCGAGCCUUACCGAAAGUAGCAAAAGUGCAAGUACUGACCGACUCGUCUGCGAUGGUUAAUGGUGGAUUGCUCGAUAAAAGAAUCAUGUGGAGUAUUCUUGAGAAACUGGAAACGGAGAGCGGAGAAAUGUUGUGGACACCCGCAAUACCUUUAUUGACAAUCAUCCAGAGUCGUCUUUGGGACUCAAGUGUAUUCGAGUUCGUGAUGUGUAAAUUCAUAGACAAGGUAUACAGCAAAACGGCACCAUCGCUAGUCCAUAAAGAUCCUGUAUUGUGGACAGAAUUCGAAGUCAAUGUAAUGAAAUCAGCAUGUUUAGCGGGUCAUCGGGCAUGUUUAAUGGAAGCUGUCAAUUUUACUAACAAAAUCCUACGAAACGAAUCGUCAAACUCUAUUCCAGAGAAAUUUCGUACCUGGACGUAUUGUACAUUUAUGAAAAUUGCCACGAACGAACAAUGGCUAGCAUUCUGGAAGAGGUACAACGAAUCAGCGAUAUACGAAAAAGAAAGCCUCGCCAUCGCAUUAGGAUGUCAUGAAAAUCCGGAUUUAUUGAGAAAAUAUCUGCCCGUGAUAUUUUCGCAAAAGAAUAUUGAACUUGCAGAAAAGGCUCUAACAUCCGUUAUGUUAAAUCCACAUGGAUAUCAUGUUGCAAUGGAAUUCUUAAAUCAACAUUGGGAUAAAUUUAAUACGAAUGCAAUAGAAAAACAUAAUAAUUACGCGAAUGUUAUUCUGAUCAAUACAUUGCGUGCCUUCGAGAAACGUAUUCGUCAAGAAGAGGAAGUGGAAUGGCUACGACGACUAAGAGGCAAGAGCGAGAAAUACGAUACUGUGAUCGGACAGGUUAUUAAUAGAGUCCGGACCAAUGUCGCGUGGUACAAGAAAGAAAAAAAUGAGACGUUGAAGAUAUUGAAGGAAAUUUAUACGAGAUACGCCGAAACAAAAAAUUGCAGGAAGCAAAAGUAACUGUAUUAAAGAUCCAGGCUAGCGUAUAUAUACAUACGCCAUUACAAGAAACCAACAAUAAUUAUGGGGGAUGCAGGAGGUGACAUUUUUCGUUCCAAAUCAUCUCUCGAGUAUCAACGCGUCGACGCCAAAGUCGAAUAUAAGAAAUAAUCAGAUGCCAGGUUAUCGAUUCUACUACUACUACGCGAUAUGCGGAUAAUCGGGGUAUCGUCAGCAUCCCCCGAGAACCGUUGCGAGAAAUUCUUGCGGCGAGAAGCGCCGGCGGAACCCCGCUCCCAAUCGGGCAGUAACGAGCCGGGCUUUCGUGUGGUCGAGUGGAGAACGUUGCAAGUAAGGGAUUGAUUCACAGGCAGUUAUAAUACCGCCAAACCGAAGGCCCUAAUAGAUUCAGGUCAAUGCCACUACCGUUCUUCGAAGUCGUUUAUUAUGUGGGAAGAGCGGACCCCGUUCUCAUGCCACACAGGUCGCCGGUAACCUGUGUGUGCAACGGACUCUUCGCCGCGGUAGGAUUCGCCAAGAACGCCGAAGUCGAAGGACCCAUCGAGAGAGCCUCUCUCUAUCCACACGGGGGGAUUCUUCCUCCGCAAGGUAUCUUCUUUUAUUUCUACGUGCGCCUCUCUUAAUGCGGUUCAUUGGACAAAAAUGAA